GCAGGGUGGCGCCGGGCGCGGCGCGGAGGCCUUUCGUGCAGCGCGGAUCUGCUGAAGGGAGUGGGCGCGGGGGGCCCGGUGCGCUCGAUGCGCGGUGGUAGGUGGAGCCGGUGGACGUCGACCAUAGAGAUUGUGUGUUGUGGAGUGCUUCAGAUCUGUUCGGAUUCGGAUGUGUGGUGGAGCUCCGGGUGAAAGCCCGGGCCCGACUUUUGGUCGGUGCCGGCAACGGCGGCGCUGGCGUUGUUCCCCUUCUUGAAGGCGUUGCCGUGGAUCUUCA